ACUGAAGUCCCUCUUUACACCUGCUAAACUUUCAGAGGAAGAGUUCGAAGUCUAUGGACCCCAUCUAUAAGGAUGAUUUCACAUGUGGACUCCCAAAGGGAGUAACAGUGGUGGUCUUAAAGAUGAAACAGCUUCUUUUACUUCAAGUAAGCUCUUCCUAGAGAAAGCAAGAUGGAAGGAGGAUUUGGACAAAACUGCACCGUUCUGAGUUGGCAGCAUCACAAUAGAGGUGUGCCAGCAGUUGUCAAUGCCUGCUAGAACUACAAGCAACUACUUGGAAAGGAAGGGACUGCUGCUUAUUUAAAAUAUGUUUUCUUAAAGGAAGCAUCACUGUUUUGCUCAUGUUUAUCCAACUGGUUUAUCACAAGCCAUAG